rnacentral:rRNA from 1 species
CCUACGGGAGGCAGCAGUGGGGAAUUUUGGACAAUGGACGCAAGUCUGAUCCAGCCAUGCCGCGUGUGGGAAGAAGGCCUUCGGGUUGUAAACCACUUUUGUCAGGGAAGAAACGGCUCGGGUUAAUACCUUGGGCUAAUGACGGUACCUGAAGAAUAAGCACCGGCUAACUACGUGCCAGCAGCCGCGGUAAUACGUAGGGUGCAAGCGUUAAUCGGAAUUACUGGGCGUAAAGCGUGCGCAGGCGGUUAUGCAAGACAGAUGUGAAAUCCCCGGGCUCAACCUGGGAACUGCAUUUGUGACUGCAUGGCUAGAGUACGGUAGAGGGGGAUGGAAUUCCGCGUGUAGCAGUGAAAUGCGUAGAUAUGCGGAGGAACACCGAUGGCGAAGGCAAUCCCCUGGACCUGUACUGACGCUCAUGCACGAAAGCGUGGGGAGCAAACAGGAUUAGAUACCCUGGUAGUCCACGCCCUAAACGAUGUCAACUGGUUGUUGGGAGGGUUUCUUCUCAGUAACGUAGCUAACGCGUGAAGUUGACCGCCUGGGGAGUACGGCCGCAAGGUUGAAACUCAAAUGAGUAGUAGCGUGAGAGNGCGACGACGACGACGAGGAGGAGG